GAAUGUUUUCCUUGCCUCUGUCACCUUUGGGCUUGCUUCAGAUGGGGUUUAGGCCCUGGGCUCUGUAAAGUGCCUUGAGACAAUUUUAUUGUUAUGGCGCUAUAUAAAUAAAAUUGAAUUGAAUUGAAUGUUAUUGACCAGACCACCAAUCACUGCUACAAGCUGUGAUCAGAAGUAAGAUUCCAUCACCCAUAAAAAAGCAAACCUUUGGACGCAGAAUGAGAGAACUGAUAUAUUGAGGAGGUAUAUAAACCCUUCACAGCUGUAACAUUUCCAGAAUUCUUAGGAGGAAGUCACCCAUCUGUAUGCACCUUUAACAGGUCCGUAAGAGACAUCUGCUGGUCGCCUCCGGUAUCAGGAGGGUAGGUCAUACAACGGAACCGAUUUGUUUCAGGAAAACUUCUGAAAACGAUAUUGCAAUGUCUACAGAGUAUUUUCGAGAUAUUUCAAAGAUUCCCUAUUCGCCCAGCGCUGGUGCCAAGGACGUGUUGUGCUUUAAGCACUACAAUGCAGGGGAAGUGUUACAUGGAAGGACGAUGGAGGACUGGCUGAGGUUCUCUGUGUGUUACUGGCAUACCUUCUGUGGAACCGGUGCCGAUCCGUUCGGAUCCCCCACGCUCCAUCGGCCUUGGAAUGAAGGGGGCAGCGCUAUGGAAACGGCAAAGAAAAGGCUCCAUGCUGCUUUUGAGUUCUUCACCAAACUUGGUGUGAAGUAUUACACCUUCCAUGACAGGGACAUGUCCCCGGAGGGCUCCACCCUGGAGGAGUCCAACCGCAACCUGGACGAGAUGACUGAUCUGGCCCUGGAGCUCCAGCAGCAGACUGGGAUUAGAGUGCUGUGGGUCACCUGCAACCUGUUUGCCCACCCCCGGUACAUGAAUGGCGCCUCCACAAACCCAGACUGCCAUGUUUUGGCCUAUGCAGCGGCCCAGCUGAAGAAAGGCCUGGAUGUGGCGAAAAAAUUGGGCGCUGAAAACUUUGUAUUCUGGGGAGGCAGAGAAGGUUUCCUGUCAAUAUACAACACUGAUGUGGCUGCUGAGCUGAAGCAUAUGGCGAACUUUUUCAAAAUGGCAGUCGCAUACAAAGAUAAGAUUGGACUGAAGUGCCAGUUCCUCAUUGAGCCGAAGCCUAAGGAGCCAUGCAAGCACCAGUAUGAUUACGGUAGGAUGCAGGUCCUUUUAAAGCACCAUUAUGAUUACGGUAGGAUGCAGCUCCUUUUAAAGCACCAUUAUGAUUACAGUAGGAUGCAGGACCUUUUAAAGCACCAUUAUGAUUACGGUAGGAUGCAGGACCUUUUAAAGCACAAGUAUGAUUACGGUAGGAUGCAGGUCCUUUUAAAGCACCAUUAUGAUUACGGUAGGAUGCAGGUCCU
ensembl:lncRNA